rnacentral:rRNA from 1 species
UACGGAGGGAUCCAAGCGUUAUCCGGAUUCACUGGGUUUAAAGGGUGCGUAGGUGGAAUGACAAGUCAGUGGUGAAAACCUGCAGCUUAACUGUAGAACUGCCAUUGAGUACUGUUAUUCUUGAGUACAUUUGAUGUGAGUGGAUGUGUCGUGUAGCGGUGAAAUGCUUAGAUAUGACACAGAACACCAAUUGCGAAGCAGCUCACAAAACUGUAACUGACACUGGAGGCAACGAAAGCCGUGGGGAUCAAACAGG